AAGGAUAUUCCAGAAGUAAGUAAAGCCAACAGCAAACACCAGAGGCUUUUCCAGUGAAUGGGUGGAGAGAACACAGCCUUCCCACCAGAGACCCAGCCAACACUUCAAAAGCUUCCACUCCCAGUUCCGUAUCAGCCACAUGCUGUGGGCUCAGGACUUCUAAAAAAAGACUAAGACGUGGAGAAAGACAAUCAAGCAAACAGGACUGGCAGUGCCCAGCAUAAGGCUGAGAAGCUGUGAUGCAGCACAGGAAAACUACAGAGCAACUUUGAGUGAUGACUUUAACCAACUCUAUCUUUGACCUUAACUCAGUCUUUCUAAUUAUUGUGAUUUUCUUUCCGUUUAUUGUGGUUUUUUUCAGAAUGUAUCUGCACUUUACAAAUGCUCCGUUUGCUUCAGUAGAAAGAGACAAAACAAACAAGCGAAAAACCAAGCCAAAAGUACAACCCCAAAGCUUGAAACUACGUAUUAGAUGUAGGAACGGCCAAAUUCCUCUUGCUCAGACUUCUCUCUUAUUCCCAGCCCUGUAUUCAGAAGGGAGAAAGCAAAAAAAAGUUGGCCAUGUUUCUAUGGUGCUUCAUCCAACCCUGCCAACCCAACCAAAGCCUGGUAGUGUCUACACAUACACCCAGGCAAUGUACCAGCCCCUACAGCUGGUCGGGUCUGCCAAUAAGCCCAUAUUCCUAGGGAGCUUCUGGAAGUGCUGUGCAAACCAGGUCUGGACACUCAGUCUGCCUUCCCUCAGGAAAGGGUAUAGUUCCUGUUGAAGUGAAAGACAAACUAUUUUCACAACCAGCUUCAUAAUAUGUCCGUAUUAUCUAUAAAAAAGUUGGAAGAUUUAUAAUACUUUCUUUAGUAGUAAAGUACAAAGGGCAAUGAAAAGCCACUUUUUGUUUCUUUGGUCUCUUUACGAUCUGAAACCAGCAUCUGCCAAACAGGUUAUCAUUCACAUGUACAAAUUAGCUAUACUGCAAGAUUGAAAAAUUAAUUAAACCAUUGUUUAUUCAAUUA